GAAACAGAGAUCAAAGCAGUUGCUGAUGAGUUCUUUAAAAUCUUCAGGAGCCAAGCACACCACCUGCCUAAUAUCUGUUCCGAUAAAAUACACAAAAUCUAGGUACAUGAAGGUGACUGGGAGACUCAGGGAUCCGUCAAGCAUUGGAUGUUCAAAUUGAUGAAUGGUAGUUUUUCAUUCAUACUUUCUUUCGUUCAUAUACAGAGUAUAUAUAGAGGGUAAUCACCAUUCUAAGAAUGAGAAAGGAUGAUACAAGGAAAGAAUAAUAUAAGGAAAUAACAACUAAUAUCCUAAUAUCUCAACUUUCCUAAUAUCUCAAUAUUCCUAAUAUCUUAAUAUUCAUAAUAUCUUAACUUUCCUAAUAUCUAAACACUAAAUGAUAUAAGGAAAUAAUGAUAUAAGGAAAACAUUCCUAAUAUCUCAACACUCCCCCUCAAGUUGGUGCAUAGAUGUCACACAUGUCCAACUUGUCUAAAAUUUUUUGAGAAUACUUGACUUGAGACAGCUUUGGUGAGGAUAUCGACUAACCAAUCUUACUUUCCACCUUGGAUCAACUAAGGCUUCUUGCACAUUGUUAGGAAUAACUACAGUAAAUAAUUGAUUUACAAAUGACUUAUUUGAUUCAGACAAACGAUGGUUAGACACAUAGUUGCUCAUGGGAUAUUUGACUUUGGUAGACAAAUCAGGUUCAUAUGUGGGUUUAGGAAUACCAAGAUUAUGACGAUGUGGUAACCGUUUCAUGAAUGGAUCGGGUUCCAAAUUAAGAACACCCUCAACAGACGACGAUUGGUUUGAUAUUUCAGUGAAGACAUCUUCAGACCCAAAUUGUUGACCUCUCAUAUCCAACUCACCCACUUCCUGGUUCACUAGUUCAGAUUGUCCAGAUUCAUUCUCCUUAGAGAUAUGAUAAUCAUAAUCAAGAGUCUGAAUUUCCUUAUGGUACUCCCCCUGAAGUUCAGACUCAGAUGAAAAUUACAUCGAAUCUUCAUGAAACACCACAUCCAUUGUAAUAUACAUUUGUCGAGUUGGAGGAUGGUAACAUCGAUAUCCCUUUUUGUGCAAUGCAUAUCCAACAAACACACAUUGCAAUGCAUGGGAAGUUAACUUAGUGCGUUGGUGCUUGUGUAGAUGCACAAAUGCCACGCAACCAAAAACACGAGGAGGUAGAUUUGGGACGGUUGGGGCAACUACGACAUUAGUAAGAGCUUGGAGAGGUGUUUGAAAGUUAAUUGAGCUAGAAGGUACCCGAUUGAUCAAGUAUACGGCAGAUGUGAUUGCUUCUCCCCAAUAAGAUAUCGGUGUUUUUGCUGCUAUCAAGGAAGCACGAAAAACCUCUAACAAGUGCCGAUUUUUUCGUUCAACGACUCCAUUUUGCUGGGGUGUAUUGGAACAAGUAGUUUGAUGAAUGAUGCCAUGUCCUUCCAAAUACUUUUGAAGAUCAGAACUUUGAUAUUCUCCACCAUUAUCACUACGCAGAACCCGAACCUUUGCAUUGUAUUGAGUUUCAAUCAUUUUAUGAAAUUUUUGAAACAACAAGUUCACUUCAUCUUUGGUCUUCAUCAAGUAUAACCAUGUCAUUCUGGUACAAUCAUCAAUAAAAGUAACAAACCAACGCGAACCACUCAAAGUUGGGACUUUGGAUGGGCCCCAAACAUCAGAAUGUAUAAUCAUAAAAGGAGACGGACUUUUAUUCAAAAUUAAUGGAAAGGAAGCACGAUGGCUUUUAGCCAAUUCACAAAUAUCACAACGGAAACCAGAAAUAUCACUCUUUGCAAACAAACUAGGAAAUAAUUUUUUUAAAUAUCCAAAGGAAGCAUGUCCCAAACGUCGAUGCCACAACCAAAUUUCAGACUUUUUCUUCUCUUCCUCAGAUCCAUCUGCCAUCAAGGCUUGUCGCAACUUAUUUGAAUCAUUUGACUGCAAGUCCAAAUAAUAGAGUUUUCCCCGCUUAAUACCAAAACCAAUCGUCUGUCUUGUUUGGAUGUCCUUAAAAACACAAAAUUCAGGCCAAAAAAUGACAAUACAAGAUAAGACUGCAGUGAUUUGAGAAACUGACAAAAGAUUGUAAUUUAAGGAUGGAACAACUAAAAUAGAAUCCAAAUUCAAAGUAUCAGUAAGAGUUAAGGAUCCUUCCCCAAUGACUGGGGUUGUGUUACCAUUGGCUGUGGAAACAAAUUUUUGUGAGGAAGGUCUAACGGGUGAGACUUGUCUAGAAUCAAAAGUCAUAUGAUCUGUAGCACCAGAAUCAAUUAUCCAUGCAUUAUUAAUAACAGGUGUAGAAGUAUUUAAAAACUUACCACCAUAAUCUGUAGCGGCUAUCAAUGCAGAGGCUUUCUCAUCAACAUUAGCCUCUGUUUUUAUUUCGGCAAUAGCUGCAGUCGAGGUUUUCUUGGAAUUCUUCUUCUGUUGAUCACGAUUGUGAUCCCACCAGUCUGGAUAUCCCACAAUUUCAAAGCAACGACUCUUGGUAUGACCAGUCUUAUUGUAGUGAGUGCAUUUGAAGGUUGACUUAUCAAUAUUAUGGUCUGUCUUAGGAUGAUUGGUCUUGGAUUGGUCCUGCCAAUUUCGGGUUAAUUGUUGUCGGACUACCAUAGCUGAGGUGUCAGGGUUGUCAGAUUCUGCUUUCAUACUAGCAUGACGUAAUGCCUCUCGUUGAAUCAGUGCAUAGCAUUCUUCCAAAUAGGGAAGAGGAUCUUUGCGUAGAAUCUCUCCUCAAACUUGCUCAAAGUCACCACCCAAUCCAGCAAGAAAGAUGUGCACCCGUUGUCGUUCAAUGGAUUUCCGGUAUGCUGCAAUGUCUUCAGGGUCUUUCAUGACUACCUUCUCCCGAUGAUCCAAUUCGCAAAAAAGUUCAAUUAACUCUCCAUAAUAUUCAGAAAGAGACCUGCCGUUUUAUUUGGCAGUGAAGACUUUUUGAUUCAAAGUGAAAACUUGUAAUUCAUCACUUUCAUCAUAGAAGGCCUUUGAUAAUGCACUCAAAAUUUCUUGAGCGGUGGGUAAGCGUAAGUAAUGCUUCAUAAUUUCUGGACUCAUGGACAUUAACAACCAUCUCUUCACCUUUUGAUUCUCAGCAUACCAUUUUUCAUAUCCAUCUUCUGACUCUUUUGGUAGAUUUGUCUUACCUCGGAUGUAGGAAAGUUUUUCCCGUUCGGCAAUAUGCAUCUCCACGAGUUGUGACCAAACGUCAUAGUUUGAUUUAGUCAAAAUAAUUCCUGAAUUGAAAGUACCUUCAGAUUGAAAAACAAUAAUACUUUUUUCACUCAUUUUUUUUUUCUCUCGCAAAGAAGGGGCAAUUGUUGGCCUUACAACAAAAUAUCCAGGAUUUCAGGAACCUAGCUCUGAUACCAUGUUCAAAUUGAUGAAUGAUAGUUUUUCAUUCAUACUUUCUUUCGUUCAUGUACAGAGUAUAUAUAGAGGGUAAUCACCAUUCUAAGAAUGGGAAAGGAUGAUACAAGGAAAGAAUAAUAUAAGGAAAUAACAACUAAUAUCCUAAUAUCUCAACUUUCCUAAUAUCUCAAUAUUCCUAAUAUUUCAAUAUUCAUAAUAUCUUAACUUUCCUAAUAUCUAAACACUAAAUGAUAUAAGGAAAUAAUGAUAUAAGGAAAGCAUUCCUAAUAUCUCAACAUUGGAGUUACACCAUUGGUAUAACAUGCAACUCAAACUCAGAACUCCAAAACACUAGCUGGCAUUAUAUUCUGCUAAAAUAUUUUUUGAUGUUUAUCUUUCAUUUCAUUGUUGUUUUCUUCACCUCUCAAAUUUUCUUUUAUAAUAAAUGCAUGCCUCUUUGUACUUUUUUUUUUCUUGCAAAGAAGUGACUAUAAUCGAUGGUUCUUAGUAAUGUAUAUGGCAUCUAAUAAUAGCUUUAACAUAUUCCAAUUAUGUUUAACCUCACAUUUUGGUUUGAACUAGGAGGGAAUUCUAAGAGUAUUAAGGAGACUGUGGAAUCAAAAGAUGAAGAGAACAGGUCCAUCACGUUCAAGGUUUUGGAUGGGGAGCUGUUGAACGACUACAAGAGCUACAAGUUCACCACACAAGCGAUACCAAAGGGGGAGGGCUGCUUGGUGAAAUGGACCGCUGAAUAUGAGAAGGCAAGUGAGGAUGGAUCAGAUCCCCGUGGCUACCUGGAGCUUGCAGUUAAUAUCACCAAAGAUAUCGAAAGUCACCUUCUCAAUGCAUAACGCCAAGACCAUAUGUACCGUUUGCUAGUAUUUCUCUCUUAAAUAAAGUUUGGAACUUGGAUGUGCAUCUAUGUACUAUCUCGACCUUUUAAUAAACGCAAAUUCCAGCUGUACUGGAGUUGGUGACUAAUGCCGAGAAGACAAACUAGGUUCCCGAUCCUCAGUUAUUUAUGCAAUAAUAUUAAUUAGUGCAUGCGUGUGAUUAGUUGUAUGGUUCUGGGAGUUGCUUUGUGAUUGUUAAUCGGUGUCUUUUGUAGUGGGAUUAUUACAUGCAUGUAAUGUGAAGAACAUAUGAUCCAUGAGGAAAUAAAUUAAAUGAAAAUUACCCAGGCUCCAUCAUGAGGAGCCUUUGAGCAUGCCCACAAGCCUACGUUCCUGCAUUCAAGUCACAUAUGUGAAAAUUCCACUUUGCACAUAAUCUAAAUAAUUUAUCUAAAAAUCUAAGAAGUAAUCUCUCUCUCCAUCUAUGUCUCUCUCUCCCCAUCUAUAUGUACCUCAAAUGAAGAGGUAAGGUAAUGUAAAAUCCCCACCUCAAAUUUAGGGAUAUUUAUAUAAUUUGAAAAUUUUAAAAAGACCUACAUUAAUUUUGUAAAUAUUUAUGUAAUCAACUUUCUCAGAUUAAUUAAAUAAAAAAUUGACCAAGAUGAUUAAAAAUGCAAAUUUGAUGAGGACAUGAAGUAAAAAGUGGUAGGGUUUAAGGACAAUGGCUUCUACUGAAUUUUGGUGAGGUGGUGAUACAAUGAGGAAAAUAGAUUAAUAAAGUUUAUCCAUGGAAAUAGAAAAUAGAAAACAAAAAAUAUAAAAUAAUAAUAAUAUUCAUGUUAAUCAUUUAAUAAAUAUAAUAAAUGCAAUUAUAUAUGCUAAGUGAAAAUAACAAUAUUAUUAUUAUUAUUAUUAAUGCUUAUGAUAGGUGAGAAUUAAGUCUUUUAGAAAUUUGAGUAAUUUUUUCAAGGUAAAGCUUAUAGUUCAUUAAGUCAUUUUAUAAUUCCUUAUAUAUUUUUUUAUUGAUUUUUAAAGUAUCAAAAUGUGUAAAUUCUUUAAAGUGGAUCAAAUAGUUUUUUUUUUUUUUGAAAUAUUUUGUGAUUUGUUUGGUUGUUAUGAAAGUGAAUUUUAUUACUUAAUUUAUUAUAAUGAUUUUAAAACUCUAGUUAUUAGUGGUUUUAGUCAACAAGGAUAAGUUAUUAACCUUCUUUACCUUUGGUCAGUGAAGGGAUGUAGUAUAACACUAGCCAAUAAAUGUGUCAUUGGUCUUGUAUACUAUUGAUUAGAAAUUGUUAUGUCCACCAAUGAGAGUAUUAAAGUGAGGUGAGCCACCUAAUGUAAGUCCCAAUAUUUGGGCACAACGUUAUUAUUAAUUAAUAAACAAAAAUAAAUAGUUUAUUUAUAAAAAUUUUUUUCUAAAUAUAAAUUGAGUAUGCAAAUUGUAUUUUUUAAUUCUAUCUUUAAAUUUAAAGUGUUUAAUCUUUUGAAGAAAGUGAAUUUAAUUUUUUGAAGAAAGUGAAUUUAAUUUUUGAAUUAAAUAAAUUAACCUGAUAAUUGAUUUUUAUAAAAAUUUGAUAUCUCUUAGAAUUUAAUUCUCUACAAUAUAUACCUGAUUUUUUUCAUUGAACUAUUUUUUCUUAUUGAACCAUUGAAGUCACCCUUCUUUAUUAUUCCCCUUUUCAUAUACAAAUGGUAUAAGUGAGAAGGGAUUACGGGAGGAGAAAUGUUUCUAUUAUAAACAACUUUGGAAUUGAAUUAUGUUGGAUUGUGAAACGUGAAUCGGUUUAAUUUAUUGUAUUUUGCAAGGAAUGCUAGAGGUCGAGUGUCUAAUUGAGCUUGCGGGGAUCAAGAGUCUUGAUCGGUUCGUUGGGACUUGGGAUUGAGUUGUCCAAUCAGCUCAUGGGGUUAAAGGAAUAUCCUUCGAUUUUUUUUAAUACGAUGAAUAACGAGUUUGUCCUAAUUGUAUAUUUAAUCUUAUUAUAAUUUAAAGUUUCUUUUUAGAGAGUGUGUGACUGCAAUCGAAAGGAUAAUGAGUGUUUAGUACUCGUCUUAUUUUUUUCUGAACCAAAUUAAAAAUCUAUUGUUUUUCUUUAUUUUCUAAUCGUGUGUGCAUGAUUUGAUCAACAAAUUAUUUAUAGGAUUGUUUACUUAAAUUUGAUUGUAAUUUAUUUAAGUUUUUAGGAGAAUCAUUAAAUUUAUUAUUACAAUAUUUUAUUAGUUUUGAAUUUGUUAUUUAAAGUGAUUCAUUUACUUGGUUCAAAGGUUUGACAUAUAAAGUCACCGUGGUUCCCUUGGUGUCGCGGGUGAUUUUGUAAGUGCCUUCGGACUACAGAAUAUUAAUUAACCUACCAAUCUUCAAUGUAAUCUAAGAUGCAGAAAGAUCUUGUGGGUUAAGGUCAAGUGGGCGCUUCAAUAUUUAUCAUGUCUUCAAAAAAAACUUCAGGGCCCCAGUCCAGAUUCUCAGAUAUGGAUUCUAACAGUUGCUACCAAUCACGGGGGUGAAAACAAAUCAGUGUCGCAGAAAUCGCUAUCAAUGUGGUACUGGAAAAAAAAGAAGAGAUUCCUCCACUUGUUCUUGAAAUUUAUCUGAACGCAUGCAAUAAAUCAAUGCUCCAUAAUCUCCUGCACAUGCAAAUUAAAAUCAAAAUCAGGCCAUUGGCCUCUCACAUUACCAUUCUUGGCCGUUUUCUGGUGUGCAUAUAAAGAGUAAUAACCACACCAUCCAUCUUUUACUCUGGUUGUCACACUCCCACCACUCUCCCACCACUUCUUCCCUAAUCUCCUAACAUCAAAUACAAAAAUGCCACAUCCUUAUUAUUGAAAAUUAAAUUCCCAUACAUAUAAAUCUUAUGCCAGAUUUUUUGUUGAUUGGAUGAUAUUCGGCCAUAUAAAAUUCAGUAUCAAUCACAAACAUUCGUUAUCCAAUCUUGAUACCGAAGAGGAUAGAGUAUCAAUCCAUCUAUGGGCCCGGUGCACCAGGCCUUCCGCCUAUAAAAGUUUUCUAGGGUGGUGAACUAUAUUCUUCAAACACAGCCUUGGCUAGUUACUAUCUGGUUUCCAAAGAAAGAAGAAAUGGCUCAGAUAGAUAAGAUGGAAACCCAUGUAGAGAAAAAGUCCCCUGCCAAUGAGUUCUACGAGGUCUUCAGCAGCAAAGCUCAUCUCAUUCCCAAGGCCUGCCCUGACAAAAUCAAGAGCAUCGAAGUGGUUGAAGGUGAUUGGAAGAGUGUGGGCUCUGUCAAGCUCUGGACUUACUGUAUCGGUAAGGCAACGCUAACCAUUAUUCCCAUGCCACCCUCAAUCAAACAAAAUAAUACACUCAGCACAUGGACCUUCUUGUUUUUAAUUAUUAUUGCUGUGGAAGAUAAUAAUAACAAAACAAAGGGAAUGACCCCUUCUGAUACGGGUGCCUCCUCAUAUUAGUUUUUUGAAGUUCUCCAUGCAAACUAAAGUAGAAAUCAAUCUUUAGGCACAUCCCUUAUCUGAGCUUCACAUGACCUUAGUUUCAUUUUAAAUUAACCUGCAGGAGGAAAUACUUCGUCUAGCAAGGAGAGGGUGGAAAAGAAAGACGAUAAGAACAAGUCCAUCACUUUCAAGGCUCUGGAUGGAGAGGUCAUGAAGGAUUUCAAGAGCGUCAUCUCCAUCCUUGAAGUGAGUGCAAAGGAUGACGGCAGCCUGGUGAAAUGGACUUUGGAAUAUGAGAAGUCAAAUGAGAAACUCCUACCUCCAGAUGCUUACCUCAGCCUUGUAAUUAGUAUGAGUAAAGAAAUCGACGCUUACCUUCUCAAGGCAUAAGCCGCAUAACAAGCCCUAUAUCCUUGACUUGAUAUGAAAGCAUCCUAGCCUGGGUCCUCCUGGGAAUAACGGAGUUGCUAUGCGUACCUCCAUAUUAUAUUAUCGACACCUACUGGCUACUGCUGUACUCCAUGUAACUUCUUGCUGUACUUAAUUAUAUGAGCUUCCUGAAUUAAUGUUGGAAUGAUAAAUCAAGCUUUAUGGUAGAAUCAAAUGAUUGCUCUAUCAUGGAAUAAAUUUCGCAAUAAAAAUAAAUAUUAGAGGAGAGUUAUGAAACGAAGCUUUUUUUUCUGCAUCAAAUUAACUUUUCAUACACUGUUUUUAAAACAAAUCAACAUACAAUGAUCUUAUGUUGUACCUUUUCCGUUGCAGAUUGCUUUUAAAAAUGUUCUCCCCACAGGCACUUCUAUGGUAUCUUUUCAAAAUUGCUAUUAUAUAUGUUUAAUUAACCAUUCAUUUUGGUCUAAAGCUAGGACGAACUUCUAAGACUGCCACGGAGACUCUGGAAAUCAACAGAUGAAGAAAAAAAUAAAAUAUAUCCAUGACUUCCAAGGUUUUGGAAGCAGAGGUCAUGAAUCAUUUCAAGAAGAUUCAAGUCAUCCAUGCAAGUAACAGCAAAGGAUAAGCGCAGCUAGGUGAAAUGGAGACUGGAUAUUGAGGGUCACUAUCUCAGAUUCUCAAGGCAUAGCAUUAAAAACAUAUCCUUUAAUUGGUAGUAUAAUCUCAAACUUGUAUGUAAAGACCAGACCGUGGAAGUGCAUAUAUGCAUUUUAUUCUUCAAUAAGCGCAGGCUUAGGGGGUAGUUCAAUAACCUCUGGGCUUAGUCAAUCCCGAGAAGAUAUUAAUAAAUUUCCCUGGAUUAUUCCUCUCAUGAAUAUCAGUGCCUGUAAUUUGGUUGUGUGCUAACGGGAGUUGCCUCUUGCGAUCGGUUGGGUUCUUUAAUAAACGCAUUAUUAGGUAUGAAUGAUCAGGAAAUUGAUAAGUAAAAAACAAUUUAAUUAUUUCACUUAAGUCAUAAACCAUUAUGAGGAGCCUUGGAAUAUAUGCAUGAGUCUAGAUUCUCGCAGCCACUAAUCACGUAGUCAAAAUUGGCCAGUCGCAAACAUUCCAAUCAUUCUUUAUGAUAAGAAAGAAGAGUUCACUCUUCUUUUUCUCGAGUUUUUUAUUUGGAGAGAGCAAUUUAUCAGCCUCACAUUUUGAGACCUUUCUUGGCACAUCACUUUCAGAAUCUGAUUUCCUAGCUCCACUAUAGAAGUAAAGCCAGUUGGGUAUCACAUUCUUGUUUUAUGUCUCCUUGAGUGGGUCGGGUGUAUAUAAAAAUUUGCCAGUUGAAGAUUUUCUUUGUUAUGCUAGUCUUUCUUUUUCUAACCUCCUGAUAUCAAAUGGGAAAAUGCCAUAUCGUUACUGGACAAUUGACCCAUAAUGGAGAGACUUUUGUUGGUUGGACUUGGGCUUUUAUAUAACUCAGCAACUAUCAUAAUUAUAGGAGAAAUUUGAAGUAACCAUAUUGAUUUGGGUCUACCAAGAAGCAAGGUGAAUCGUAACAUAUCAUGCAUAUAACUUGAUUCAAUUAUUUUAUAUUCUACUUGUUUCUUAUGUAUUUUUACUUUUAUCAAAUAGUUUAGAUAUCAUUACCAAAUAUUCUCCUGACAUUUUCCUAUUAUUUCUGUAAGAUGCUAUAAUCUACACCCAAAGUAGUGGACCACUUACACUUUAUUAUGUACUAACCACGAUCAUAACUUACAUUCUCCACCUUGGCCUCUCUCUUAUCCCAAAAAGUAAAGACUCAGGGUUCGUAUCCCUUCCCUUCUGUCUAUAUAGGUCUAAGAGUAGUCAAGUGUUUCCUUCAAUAGCCUUCAUAUUCUUGGCAGUAACUAGGUACUUGGUUUUCAAACACAACAAAAAUAAUGGCUCAAAUUGCCAAGAUGGAGGUCCAAGCAGAGAUCAAGUCCCCUGCCAGUAAGUUCCACGAGGUCUGUAGCCGUAAAGUUUAUCUCGUACCCAAGGCUUGCCCUGAAAAAAUUAAGAGCAUUGAAGUAGUUGAAGGUGACUGGAAGACUGUGGGCUCUGUCCAGCUUUGGACUUAUUUCAUCGGUAAGGCAAAAUCCAUCAUUCCACGCCUCCCCCAACAAACACAAGGACACAGAGCUCAAUUGUACUUCUAUUAUUAUUACUAUUAUUAGGAAAUAAUGAUAAUCUAAUGGUAAUGUGACUCUACUCAUGCCGAUAUAAACCCCGUAAUCUUGAUCUCAAAUUGCUAUCAAACAAAAGAAUAUCAAAUAAAGGUAAAGUGUGUCCCCUAUAUUUAUACGUAGAUAGAUGAGUUCUAAGCUUAGCACCAUGUUUUCCAUUUGAAAAACAGGAGGAAAUACCGAAGAGGCUAAGUUGGUGGUUGAAAGGGUAGACGAGGAAAACAAAACGGUCACUAUGAACGUUGUGGAAGGAGAUAUCGUGAAGUAUUUCAAGAUCUUCAAGUGCACUAUUCAAGUAACCGUAAAGGAUAAGGGCAGCUUGGUGACAUGGAGUGUGGAAUAUGAGAAGCUAAAUGAGAGUGGCCCCGCUCCAGAUGCUUACCUCAACUUUGCAAUGGGUAUCGUUGAGAACGUGGAUGCUUACCUUCUCAAGGCAUGACAACAAAGGCGUAUUCAUGAGUCAUGACAUGGUAUGAAGCACUGGUACAACAAAAACUUGGGAAUAAUGUACCACACGCCAUGUCCUCAACUUCUACUGGUCAUCGCUAUAAUAUUAAAAGUAACUUCUUAUUCUACUUAUAUACCUUCCAAGUACUUUGUGUCUUGAAUGUUAUUAUCUAAAAAUAAAAAUAGAAAAUCUCGAAGAAGAGCAUUGUCCUUCGACACUUUUCUUUCUUUCUUUCUUUCUUCACUGCUGAGAAUCUCAACGUACGACUACCAUUUGCAUUAUGGACCCAUGACUGCCAUCCUUUGACCACAUUUGUUGCCCUCCCACCAAACUCCUACGCGUCAAAAUUUCUAUUGUUGCUUGAACAAUAUUUUCAUUUGAAAAACAAGGAAACGAUUUAAAAAUUCUUAUCUCAUGUCUAGUUACCCCGGUCGACCAUAUAAAGUACCACUUGAUCACUCUAGUCUCCUUUGCUAGCCCAUGGGCAAUGCAAUACCCAGCAGGUCCCAGUAACCAACUCUAUGUUCCUCCGAAAAUGAAACAAAUCAGGUCGUUUCAGGGAUGCAUUUGAUCUCACCCUUUUGUUUUGUGUCCGUUAUUUUUUAUUUUAAUAUCACAUGUUUAUAUUUUAAUCUCAUUCUUUACACCUGGAUUUGCUGAUAAAGGCAACUUUCUUUUUGAGCUUUGAUCGAGAUUUUUAUGAAAUUCCUGUGAUAUUACCGUCCUGCUCCUGCUUAAGAAUGUAACUUUGAUUUUGCUUUUAGUGAAGUCUUUAGGUGUUGUUUAUUCCCCAAAAUCUUUUGAUGUUUCUGAAAUUGCUUCAGUGGACUUUGAGAGGUUGCAGGUACCUCUUUUCUCCUGAAAUAGAAUUUGUUUCAGUGGAGCAAGACAACAGGAUGAGCAAAAAAUAGAACCAAUUUUAUUGAUAUAUAUCAGGUUUUUGAGACGUUGAAGAACAUUUCUAACAACUUUUUUUGAUGGGUGACCAAGCCUAUUAUGCCACAAUGCAUAUACAGAACAAGAAGAAAAAGAAGCAGGUGUUGGAACUACAGAAGAAUUGUAUACUAAGGGUUGUGUUGACAUACUGACAUAUGACUUAUGAGGAGUUGAGGGAGAGAAGCUGCCACUGAUUAUUAAUGAGAUCAAUUUGAGACUGAUAAAAAACAUAAAGACCAUCUUUAGGCCUACCCCUCCAGUAGCACUGUUUUGAAGUGAAAUUCAAAGAAGACAUUCUUUUGGGCAAAUUUUGACACACUGAGAAGGUUCUAAUUAGCAAUUUCAGGGACAUGAAGUGUUUUAAAGAGUAAUUUCAGCAAACAUAACUUCAACUUUACAUCCACCUGACCUCAUUAUUUCAGUUUGACAAGAGGGCUUAAUUAUAUCAGUAUGACUGCUAAGAAGACUUUGGAAUAUUAUAAAACGAGUCCAUCAAGUUCAAGGUUUGGAAUGGAAAGAUCAUGAGUAAUUUCACUACUUUUAAGCUGAAUAUGAGAAGGUAAAUGAGGAUGUCCCAGACCCAAUGCUUACUAAAUCAUUGAAGGUCACCUUCUUGAGGCAUAAUUCCAAUUCUUUUCAUCGAUGCUUCUUAGAUGUUAUAAAACAAUACUAUGAAAAUGAAAACGUAAUGUAAUUUUGUCAAAGCCUUUUCCUUAUUGAAGACUCUGGACUGAUUGCGUGGGUGCGCAACACCCACCAUAAUUCCCACACCAACGCCCAACUAACCAAAUCACGUAAGGCCUCACAUGGCCUCAUUAUUAUUUCUGUUGAAAGAUAAUACUAUAUUACAUACGAGAUGGCCAUUCUACCAGCCACCUGUAAAGUUGGUGAUAAAUUGAUACUAAAAAUAGAAGGAAAAUUAAGUUGAAAUUAAGGGUGUCUAUUUAAAUUUAAUUAUUCCCUAGAUAUGAUCUUUUGAUAUGAUUUGAACCCGUUAAUCAUUUAUUUUUAUAUAAAGAGACAAAAAUUCAAUUGUAUAAUCCAGGAUGAGUCACUUGGCCGGGUUUUCGACGACAGCUAAAUCAACCUUCAUUUAGUAAUGAUUGCCCAUGAAAUAAAUUAUCAUGUCUCCUCACAAUAUAAUAAACUAAUAAAAAAUAAAAGAAGAUCACAAAGAAAAGCAUCUUAGUGGAAGUUUUUUUUUUUUUUUUUUUCUUUCAUUUGUUGGUGGUGACACUCCGUGAAAUGUGAUCAACUAGCAUUUGAAUUACACAACCUAAUGCAAAUGAUAAAAAGCAUAAAUUACUUUAGAGUGUUUAGAAUUUGGAAGACUCUAGCUAGGAUGAUAUGGCAUGGGUCUGUGGCCGACAACCACCAAACCCAACGCUAAAUAAUUAUUAUUGAACCAUCAUCAUCAGUAUAAGCAACAUCAAACCUCUCCAUGUUAAACUGUACAUUUUAUUUCAUCCGGAUCUAAUAUCUAAUUAUAAAUGAUUAUGUAUGAGAUUGCAAUCCUUUGCUUAACUCUUUGAAAAUCUAAUUAUAAAUAUUUGGAAUAUCGAUUUCAUCUCUACCAUUAAAAGCAUAUGAAAAAAAUAUCUUGGUCUUUGAAUAAAAGUAAGUAUAAAUAAUUAGACUAGGGUACCAAAUGAUGAAAUCAAAUAUAAAUGAAUUAUAACCAUCAAAUUUCUAUUUUUCAUUAUUAAAUCAUUGGGCGCUCCAAUUUUUACAUGAUGUAUAACUAUUGACGGAAAUGUUAAUUAGGGAUGGCAACGGGGCUGGUUUUUUCGGGUACCCGCCCCCCCCUCCCCCCCCCCCGCCCCUAAUGGGACGGGGUUGAAAUUUAAUAAACGGGUUUUUAACGGGUAUGAGAUUUUUUUUUAAAACCAGGGGCGGGUUCGGGACGGGUUCGGGACGAGUUCGGGUAUUGCCCCAUUCCGCCCCGCCCCGCCCUGUUUACAUAUAAAAUCAAUUUUAAAAUUAAUUUUAUUUUACUAUUUUUAAUAUAUAGAUAAUAAUAAAAAAAUUAAUAAAAUAAGUUAUAAAAAAUAUAAUAAUUUUAUUAUUUAUAAAUAUAUUUAUUUUAAUGUAAUUAAAAAUUUUAAAAGUAAAUUUUUUUUUUUAUAAAAAAAAGGAGGCUAAACGGGGCGGGACGGGGAUGAGAAUUAUUUUUAAUAAACGGGGCGGGGUUGGGAUGGGGGCAACCCGUCCCGAACCCGCCCUGUUGUCAUUCCUAAUGUUAAUAUAAGGAUAUAAUAAUGGGUAAAAUUAGUUGAAAGUGUUUUUUUUAUGACAUAAAAUAAUUUUUCAAAUUUUAAUUUCUAUUUACUUUGUCUUCCCUUGUCAUGUAUCUUUGUAAUUUUCCGAUUUGUUUAUCAAAACAAUAAAUGAUGUCAUGUUAUGAUUUCUCUUUUUGUCUUCCUUUUUAAUUGACGUGUUUAUUGGAAUAAUAUAUUAUGUUAGACAAAAUAACACAUACCUCCACUGCCCAAAUCCCCUCCGUGACAAUGAACCCCAUCUUUAAGCAUUAUUAUAAAAUUAAGCAUAAAGUUAUUACAAGUUUCUUCCAUUUCACAUGCCUUUCCCAUAGAUUGAGUGGUGGAGAUGAUCAUUCUUGAACGAUUUAUAAUUUUAAUGAAUUCUGUCUAUUCUCAUAUCUUUUAAGAGGGAAUUCAAAUCAACUUAUCUUAUUUUCUCAACGCUACUUAACUUCCACGGCUUCAAAUUUACAUGAUCAUAUCAUUAUCAAUAACUUCGGCAUAACUAUUCAAAUUUUAAUAAGAACUUCAAAUCAUUGUUACCUUUAUUGCCUUAAAAAUCUUUUUCUUUGUCAAUGAUCCCUGCACGAUUAUUAAAUAAUAGGAUUGUUAUUGUCAUAUUAACUAAUUUUGAUAAUAUAGUCAUCGUCACGGCUGAGUGCCGUUUUCUUGGGAGAUUUUUCAUAAAUUUAAAUCAAUACCAGUUAUAGGAAAUGCGUCACAAAUUAGGAAGAUAUCGAGCUGGAAGCAGAUGAUAUAUAAUUCAUUAUUUUCUUCCUUAUUGAAGCUUGACAAACCAAUCCAAAUGCAUUAACGUGAGAAGCAAGGUUUUAUGCUCAUUUUCAAUGAACCUUGUCAACAUGCACGUCAAAAACAAUGAUUUAUUAACUACGUACAUGUAGAACUGCAUGGGAAAAAAAAAAUACAAUUAAGGCAUUGGGAUAUGAAUAAAACGCUUAACUUAAAAUUCAAAAUUCUCAAAACUACGUUUUUCACACCAAAAUGUUUCAUCCAGCCAACCUAAGACCGAGUGAAUCCUCCCUCUAAAGCACAUUGCCCAAGACUACAGGCAACGUAGUAAUUACCUAAGCAAAUACGUCAGAAUCAUACCAAUUUUUACCAAAGUGGGUAUCGGGAAGGAGCUUUGCCUAAUUCAUCCUUCUAUAUAUAAGGACAAGGUUAUCUACUUCUUCUCAUCACUGCCUUCUGUUUGAAUAUUUUGUAGUUAGUUUUAUCAAUCCAGCUAGUGUUAUUAUCAGAAAAACAUGGCUCUAACUGGUAAGUUGGAGACUGAAACAGAGAUCAAAGCACCUGCUGAUAAGUUCUUUAAAAUCUUCAGGAGCCAAGCACACCACCUUCCUAAUAUCUGCUCCGAUAAAAUACACAAAAUCGAGGUACAUGAAGGUGACUGGGAGACUCAGGGCUCCGUCAAGCAUUGGAGUUUGACCGUUGGUAAGGCAUCUCAAACUAAGAACCACAAAACACUAGCGUUAUAUUCUGUUAAUUAAAAUAAGUUAUUAUGUUUUUGUUUCAUUUCAUUGUUGUUUUCUUCACCUUUCAAUUAUUCUAUUAGAAUAAAAGCAUGCCUCUUUGUACAAUUUUUUUCUUGCAAAGAAGUGAUCGAGUCUGGGCCGCUAGUGACUAUGAUGGUUCUUAGGAAUGUACAUGACAUCUAAUAAUAGCUUCAACAUAUUCCAAUUAUGUUUAACCUCACAUUUUGGUUUCAACUAGGAGAGAAUUCUGAGAGUAUUAAAGAGACUGUGGAUCAAAUAGAUGAAGAAAACAGGUCCAUCACAUUCAAGGUUUUGGAUGGGGAGGUGCUGAAAGACUACAAGAGCUACAAGUUCACCACACAAGCGAUACCAAAGGGGGAGGGCUGCUUGGUGAUAUGGACCAUCGAAUAUGAGAAGGCAAGUGAGGGUGGCCCAGAUCCCCAUAACUGCCUAGAGUUUUCAGUUAAUAUCACCAAAGAUAUCGAAAGUCACCUUCUCAAUGCGUAACACCAAGGCCAUAUCCACCCUUUGCUAGUAUCUUGCUCGUAAAUAAAGUUUGGAACUUGGAAGUCCAUCUAUCUCUAUCUUUCAAUAAACGCAAAUUCCAGGUGUGGACUUGGUGAUUAGUGCCGAGAAGAUAAACUAGGUUUGCCUUGGUUAUUUGUGCAAUAAUAUUAGUGCAUGAGUGGGAUUGAUUGUAUGCUAUCUUGUCCGGGAGUUGCUUUGUGUCUUUUGUAAUGGGAUUACUACAUGUAAUGUGAAGACUAUAUGAUGCAUGGGGAAAUAAAUUAAGCGAAAACUUCCAUGGGCUCCAUCAUGAGGAGCCUUUGAGUAAGUCCACAAGCCUACAUUCUUGCAUUCUAGUCACAUGUGUCAAAAUAAGUCUCUACAAAUUAAAGUCUUAUUGUCAAAAUCCCACUUUACACAUAAUCUAAAUAAUUUAGCUAAAAUCUAAUAAGUAUGUCUCUCUUUAUAUGUACUUACCAUCCCAACUUUUAAAUUUAGGGAUAUCUAUGUAAUUUAGAUUUUAAAAAGAAAAUUUUAGGGAUAUUUACAAAGAUAAAUGAAAUAUUUUUGGUUCCGAUAACCAUUAUUUUUAUCUCAUUUUGGUUUCUUUGCGUUAUAAAAAAAAUGGUUUGUAGAGAUAAACUAGAGAAAAAAAAAAAUUAUACAAUGGUUUGUAGAGAAAUUUGAUUCGAAAAGUUAGAAAAGAUGAUUUGUUUUUUGCAUUUGCUUCAUUCUAAAAUUCAAUCACUAUCUUUUAUCUCAUUUUGGUUUCCCCACAUUAUCAAAAAAUGAAGGAUAAAAAUAAACUGGGGAAAAAAUUAUACAAAGGUCUCCGAGAACUUUGAUUUGAAGAGUUAGAAAAGAAGAAUUUUUUUGCAUUUGUUUCAUUUUAAAAUUCAAGGUUUUUGGAUUUCUAUUAUAUAUUAAUUAUGAGGAUAGUAGAAUAAUAAUAAUAAUAAACAAAAACUAGUUAUUAGUGACCUUGAUCAAUAGAGUAUAAGUUGUUGACCUUUAUUAUCUUUGUUAGAAGUAGUUAACGAUGCAAUGUAACCUUAGCCAAUAAAGAUGUUUUGAUAUACAUUGAUUGAAAAAUGUCCUUUUAAAACUAGUUAUUAUUGACCUUGGUCAACACAGAGGAUAAGUUGUUGACCUUUAUUACCCUUGUUAGGAGUAGUGAACGGUGUAGUAUAACCUUAGUCAUUAAGGAUGUUAUUAGCCUUUUGCUAUAUCAUUGAUUGAAAGUUGUCCUAUCCACCAAUAAGGAGAAUGAAGGCUAGCCACCAAGUACUAGUUUUAGUAUUUUGGCACAAUAUUAUUACUAGUGAGUCAAAGUGAAAUAUUUGUUGAUAAAACUUUUUUAAUAUGAAUUGAGUAAGCAAAAUAUAUUAUUUAAUUCUAUCAUUAAAUUGGAAGUGUUUAAAUUUUCAAAAACAAUUAUUUUAAUUAUUGAAUCAAAUGAGCUUACAUGUUAAUAGACUUUUAUAAAGAUGUGGUAUCUUCCGAAAUUUUAUUAUAUAUAAUAAUUGAUCUUCCUUAUACUAACUUUUAUCAUUGAGCCAUCGAGUUCACUUUUCUCUGUUAUUCUCCAUUUCAAUUAUAAAUGAUAUAAAGAGGGAUGAGGUAAGAAAAAUAUUUCUAUUAGAGACAGCUUUGGAAUUGAUUUAUUUUAGGAUUAUUUACUAGACUGAAUUCAUUUAUAAUUUCUAAAUUUCUUUUUGAAGAAUUUGAGAAAAUUAAAUUAAUUAUUGAGAGAUUUUAAUUAGUUUUAAAUUUGUUACUUAAAGUCGUUCACAUGUUGGAUUCUAAUAUUUGAUACGUGAAACUAGCAUGAAGGGCUUGACCUCCGGGUUUGGGGCGUCGCAGCUGACUUUAGAUUACAGAAUUAUUAAUCAACCUACCAAUCUUCAAAGCAAUCUAGGAUGCAAUAUGGUUUUGUGAUUUAAGAUCAAGUGGACGCUUCAUUUAUUAUGUCUUCAAAAAAACAUUUUGGGCCUCAAUUCGAGAUUAUCAGAUAUGGAUUCUAACAGUUGCUUCCAAUCAAAUCAGUGUCACAGAAAUCGCUACCAUUGUGGUACCUGAAAAAAAAAAAAAGAGACUCCUUCCCUUAAUAUUGAAAUUUAUCUGAAGCUAUGCAGUAAAUAAAUGCCCCAUUUUGUGCGUCAUAAUGGGGGAUCACAUUCAGAAUCUUCUGCACAUGCAAAUUAAAAUCAAAAUCAAGCCAUUGGCCUAUCACAUUACCAUUUUUGGCCCUUUUGUUUUGUUGUUUUUUUCUUUUUUUGGCGUGUAUAUAAAAAGCAACCACAUUAUCCAACUUUUAUUGAAAACACCAUAUUAUCAGAUACAAAAACGCCACAUCAUUAUUAUUGAAAAUUAAAUUCCCAUAUAUAGAAAGCCACAUAAAAUUCAGUGCCAAUCACAAACAUUCGUUGAUAUUCACUAGGAUAGAGAUAGAGUGCCCAUAUAUGGACAGUGCACCAUACCCGCCGUGAAGUGAUUGGAAGAGUGUGGACUAUGUCAAGCUCCGGACUUAUUUGUAUAGGUAAGGCAACGCUAACCAUUAUUAUUCCCAUGCCACCCUCAAUCAAGCACAGUCAUACACUCGGCACAUGGCACUUCUUGUUUUUAAUUAUUAUCAUAGUGAACAAUGUUUUCAUAAUCGGAUCGAUCAUCGAACCGAAAAAGUUAUCGAUUUACAGUCCAUUAGUCGAACCGACGGUCGAACCAAUAACAUCAUAAAUAUGUAAUUUAUAUAUUAUUAAAAUUAAAAAUAAUUAUACAAAUUUUAAAAUAUAUAUGAAUAAAUUAAAAAUCAAUAAUAUUAUUUUGUAUCUUUAAUAUUAUCAAAUUAAAUCAUAUUAAUAUUUUAAAUUUUAUUGAAUGAAAUAUAUAUAAUAUUUAAAUAUGAAUAUAUUAAAAAUGAAAAUUUAAUUAAACUAAUUUUAUAAUUUUUAAAAAUAUUAUAUUAUUUUUAUUUAAUAUUAUAAAAAAAUUUAAAAUCCAAUAUAUAUUAUUUUGUUUGGCAUAUUAAAUAAUAAAAGAUGUAUAGCCGAGUGGUCCUAGGUUGGUUAUAGACCUUGAGGUCCAAGUUCAAAUCCUUUGGUGGAUUUGUUAAUUUUUUUUUUCAUUGAUUAGGUUAGUUAGCAAUCCCACACUAAGAGGAAUAAGGAUGCUUAUAAAAGCUAGCCUCAUUAUGGGCAAAGGCAUCACCUCAUCUGGUGGGCUUAAGACUCAGCCCAUAAAAUGGUUGGGUGCGGUGUGGGCUUUGUCACAUUAAGACAGGGCCCAUCAUGGGCUUUUGCUAAAUUUUUUUAUACAAGGGAGCCUUCCAUGCUUGCAAAAUGGUGGGAUAACUUGAACCGAUCGAUUCGCUCAAAACCGUCUGAUUUCGUUGGGUUAUCGAUUCAAUCAUCGAUUUAGGUGAUUUGUGACCGGUCCAAUGCUUAGACGGUUUAAUAAAGUAAAUCUAAUAAAAAAUGUGAUGGAUCGACGAUUGAACCAGUUGGAUCAGUCGGUCCCACCCGAUUUUUAAAACAUUAGAUAAUAACAAAUUAAAAGAAGGGUGUCUCCUCAUAUGAGUUUUUUUGAAGUUCUCUACUCUUGGAGUGACUGAAAGGAUAACUGCAGCCUGGUGAGAUGGACUUUGGAAUAUGAGAAGUCAAAUCAGAGGCUCCUUCCUCCAGAUGCUUACCUCAGCCUUGUAAGCAUGAGUAAAGAUAUGGAUGGUUUACCUUCUCAAGGCAUAAACCGCAUAACAGCAAGGCCUAUAUCCUUGACUUGGUCUGAAAGCAUCCUAGCUUGGGUCCUUCUGGGAAUGGGAUUGCCACACGUAUGACCUCUGUAUCAUCAGUUUUGGGGCAAAAUAGCCAUUUUAUGUAUAAAAAAAAAUAAGCUUUAGCCCUUUACAAAACUUAUGUUUAAACUAGCUCACAUAGAGUCAUGUCAUCAUUUUUCUUUUAAACUCAAUUAGACUUUAUUUUUUAACUGAAACUUCAAUUACCAAUUGAGAAUUCAUUUUUUAACUAAAACUUCAAUUUACAAUUGAGGUUUUAGUUAACUUUGUUUUAAAUUUAAAUAAAAAAUUAAAUUAUAAAUUAUUAUUGAAAUUUAAAAAAUAUAUUUUAAUAAUAAUAAUUUAUAUAUUUAAACUUAAAUAUCUAAUAUUACUUCAAUAAAGAUAAAUUGACAAAUAUAAUAAUAAAUAAAUAUUUUAUUUAUCAAUAAAUUAAUAAUUUUAAAAUAAUAAAGUUAUAUGAAAUCUAAAUAAGAUAUAAAAUUAUAUAAUUUGUUAAUUUAAGAUAUUUAAUUUUUUGUAUUUUUAAGAUAUUAAUUUAUUUGUAUUUUGACAAAUUUAUCUUUAUUAAAAUAAUAAUAUAUUCUUAAGUUUCAUAUAUAGAUUUUUUUAUUAUUUUAAAGCAUAUAUUUAUAGUUUACGUAAAAAAAUACUAUUAUUUGUACAUACAAUAUAUAUGCCUUGAAGAUACAUUUUGAAAUUAGUUAAUAAAAUUAAUUAGAAAAAAGUCUACUAUAAAAUUUAAUUUUUAAUAGUUUCAUCAAAGUCACAAAAAAUACUCAUUAAAUAUUUAUAUUAUGGAAAAAAAAUGCCCCUCCCUAAUAUUACAUGUGAUAUAACUUAAAUUAAUAAAUUGUAUAAUUUUAUAUUUUAUUUAUAUGUCAUAUAAUUUUAUUAUUUUAAGAUUAUUAAUUAAUUGAUAAAUAAAAUAUUUAUUUAUUAUAUUUAUCAAAUUAUCUUUAUUGAAGCAAUAUUAGAUCUUUAAGUUUAAAUAUAAAAUUUUUUAUUAUUAAAGUAUAAUUUUUUAAUUUCAAUAAUAAUUUAAAAUUUAAUAUUUUUAAUUAAAUUUUAAAGUAAAAAAAUAAAAUAACUGAAGUUUCAAUUGACAUAUCUUAUUUAGAUUUCAUAUAAUAUUAUUAUUUUAAGAUUAUUAAUUUAUUUAUAAAUAAAAUAUUUGUUUGUUAUUAUAUUUAUUAAUUUAUUUUUAUUGAAGUAAUAUUAGAUCUUUAAGUUUAAAUAUAUAAAUUAUUAUUAUUAAAAUAUAUAUUUUUUAUUUCAAUAAUAAUUUAUAAUUUAUUUUUUAAUUAAAUUUUAAAAUAAAAUAAAAAUUUUAACUAAAACCUCAAUUGUCAAUUGAGGCUUUAGUUAAAAAAUAAGUUUCGAUUGACAAAUGAUACUUCAAUUAAAAAAUGAAGUCUUAGUUGGUAAUUGAGACUUCAACUUAAAUUUUAAAAAAAAAAAAUUAUGACAUAACUCCUAUAUGUGAUAAUAAAGGAACUAGUUUAAACAUAAGUUUUAUAAAAGGGUUAAAACUUAUAUUUUUUUCUACAUAAAAAACUAUUUUGCCCUAAAACUCCCGUAUCGUCGACUAGCUACUGCUUUACUCCAUGUAACAUCUUGUCUACUUAAUUAUAUGAACUUCCUGAAUUAAUGCUGGAAUGACAAACCAAGUUUUAUUGAAAAUGGAAACCUUCUUAGAAUCAAACAUUUGCUCGAACAAAUUUCGCAAUAAAAAGAGGAGAGUUGUGAAAAGAAGCAUUUUUCCUGCAGCCAAUUACCUUUUCAUACAUUACUUUAAAACAAAUUAACAAAUAGUGAUCUCAUAUUUUACCUUUUCUGUUGCAGAUUACUUUUAAAAAUAUUCUCUCCACAGGCACUCCUACGGAAUCUUUCUCCAAAUCAAACUGUACAUUUUACUCAAAUUUUAAUAUCUAAUUAUAAAUAAUUAUGGGUGAGAUUGCAAUCCUUUGCUUAGCUCUUUGAAAAUCUAUGAUGAUACUCGGUAUUAAUAUUUUAUUUUAUUAAAGAUAAAAAUAUCAAAAUAAUUUUAGAACUUUUUAGUGGGGAUAAUACUUCCCCAUUAGGCUGCUUACAAGGCAUAAAUUAAUAUUUUUUUAAUUUUAAUAAAAGCAAUUUGGUACAGUUGACUUGAUUGAUAACUAUUUAAGAUAGGAUUUAGACUAAUUUAGAUUAAUUAGAUUGCAUUUACAGUUCCGUUACCUCGAAACAAAGUUGGUGCAACAUUAACCAUGAUUAUGGUGAUAUAUUUUAGUUUUAUAUUUUUUAAGGGGAUAAUUUUUUUUUUUAAUGGUUUGAUGUUAGCUUAUAAGAAAAACCUAAACCAUAAAAGCCGAAUCUUUCCAAUAUUGAUCCAAUUUCUAUCAUUAAAAAUAUAUGAAUAAAACUUUUGAUCCUUAAAUAAAAGUAUACAAACUAUCGUACAAAAUAAUGGAAUCAAAUAUACAAAAUAAGAUUAAGGAAAUGUUUGAUAAAACUUAAUAUUUAUUAUUUAAUAAUUUAAAUUAACUCUAAGUUAAAUUAUAUUUAAGUUGUUGACUUAAAACUUAUUAUUUAAUUUUUAUUUUAAGUAUUAAGGUUAUUUAAAAAAAUUAACUUACAAUUUAUAUUAAAUCAUCAAAUUAAAAUAUUUAUCUUAAUAAAUUAUAACUAAGACAAAUAAGGUUAAAUAACAAUGGAGGUUGUGAAGUCAUAAAAGAGAUCAUAAAUGUAAUUGAGAGAAAAAAAGACAAAAAUAUAAAAUGAAGAUACUGACUUAAAAAUAAAUAAAUUUUUUUAUUUAUUAAGUCUUUUAUUUUAAGUCAUACAAUAAAAUUAUUUUAUCAAACAUAUUUAAUUUAUUUAAUAAUAUAAUUAAAAUAUUAAGUCACUUAAAGUUAUUAAAUUGGUUUACCAAACACGUACUAACGUACAAAUAAAUAAGACUAAAAUAGAAAACAAUGAAACUUAAACACAUAUAUGACAUGGUCUAUUUAAUUGUAUUUUUUUAUAAAUGCCUCUUUAAUACUUCCCAAAUCAUAACAUUAAAUUUCUUAAAUUGAUAUAAAACAUUUUUUUUUUUCUANNNNNNNNNNNNNNNNNNNNNNNNNNNNNNNNNNNNNNNNNNNNNNNNNNNNNNNNNNNNNNNNNNNNNNNNNNNNNNNNNNNNNNNNNNNNNNNNNNNNACAUAUAUGACAUGGUCUAUUUAAUUGUAUUUUUUAUAAAUGCUCUUUAAUACUUCCAAAUCAUAACAUUAAAUUUCUUAAAAUUGAAUUAUAAACAUUUUUUUUUUCUAUGAUUGAAUCAUUUAGCACUCCAAGUUUUACUAUUGGACGAAAUGUUAAGGAUCUAAUAAAUGGGUAACAUUAAUUUGCUGAAAUAGUUUUUCUUAUUACUUAUAAUGGUUUUAAGAAUGUUGAAAAAAAAAUUCAUGGGAAAACAUUUAUCAAACUCAAAUUUUGAUUCCUAUUUACUUUAUCUUUCCUUGUCAUGUCUCUUUCUAAUUUUCCUUUUUUAGCGGUUUGUUUAUUAGAACAGUAUAUCAUGCCUGUGAUUCUCUUUCUAUCACUUCUUUUCAAUUGAUUUGUUUAAUGCAAUAAUAUUUGUUUAAUGCAAUAAUAUAUCAUGUUAGACAAAAUAACACCUACCUACUACCCAAAUCCCCAAUGUGACAAUGAACUCUAUCUUUAAGCAUUAUUAUAAAAUUAAACGUAAAGGAUAUUAUAAGUUUCUUCCAUUCCACGUGCCUUUCCCAUAUAUUGAAAGGUGGAGGUUAUCAUUUUUAAAAGAUCAAUAAUUGUAAUGAAUUUUCCAUUCCACGUGCCUUUCCCAUAGAUUGAAAGGUGGAGGUGAUCAUUUUUAAAAGAUCAAUAAUUUUAAUGAAUUUCAUAUAUUUGCAUAUUUUUUAAGAGGGAAUUCAAAUUAACUCAUCUUAUUUCUCAAUGUUACGUAACUCCUGCCUCAAAUUAAAAUCAUCAUAUCAUUAUGAACAACUUUGAUACAACUAUUCAAUUUUUAAUAUGAAUUCUUUCAUUCUCAAAUCAUUGUUCAAGUUAGCUUUAUUAACUUAAAAAAACUCAUUCUUUGUCACUACUCCCUCUAUGAUUAUUAAAUGAUAAAAUUGUCAUUGUCUUAAAAACUAAUUUUGAUAAUAUAUUCAUCAACAUAUUUACAAAUUUAAAUUAAUACAAGUUGUAAGAAAUGUAUCAUAAAGAAGAUACAAAACUAGAAGUAGAUGAUAAUUAAUUAUUUUUUUUCUUUAUUGAACUUUGACACCCCAUCCAAAUGCAUUAACGAGAAAAAUAGUGUUUUAUGCUUGUUUUCAAUUAAUCUUGUCAAUAUGUACAUGAAAAACAAUGAUUUAUGCUUAUAAAUCUUAUCAAUUCGCUUAUUUGUAUAUGUAAAAUGAAAUUAUUGAAACUACACGUAGAAUUGCAUGAGGAAAAAAAUACAACUACUGCAUUUAUAAAUGAAUAAAAGCUUGGCUUAAAAUUCAAAAUUCUCAAAACUAUGUUUUCCACACCAAAAUAUUUCAUCCAGCCAACCAAACACCGAUUGAAUCCUCCCUCUAAAGCAUAUUGCCCAAGAUUACAGGCAACGUAGUAAUUACCUAGGCAAGUACGUCAGAAUUAUAGCUUCUUUUUUUUUUUUGUUUUUUUUCAGUUCAUUGACUCGGCUCCACCCAACCACUAUCAGUAUCAGUUACUACCAGAGAGGGUACUGGGUACUGGUUACUGGGCAGGAGCUUUUCCAAAUUCACAACCCGUCUUCUUUAUAUAAGGGCAAGUUUAUGUAUUUCCUCUCGCCAUUGCCUUUUGUUCGAAUCAUUUGAAGUUGAUUUUAUUAAUCCAUCAGAAAAACAUGGCUCUAACUGGUAAAUUGGAGAUUGAAACAGAGAUCAAAGCACCUGCUGAUAAGUUCUUUAAAAUCUUCAGGAGCCAAGCACACCACCUUCCUAAUAUCUGCUCCGAUAAAAUACACAAAAUCGAGGUACAUGAAGGUGACUGGGAGACUCAGGGCUCUGUCAAGCAUUGGAGUUACACCAUUGGUAGGAUAUGCAACUCGAACUCAGAACCCCAAAACACUAGCUAGCAUUAUAUUCCGUUAAAAUGUUUUUUGAUUUUUUUUCCCCAUUUCAUUGUUGUUUUCUUCACAUUUUUUUAUUCUUUUAGAAUAAAUGCAUGGCUCUUUGUACAAUUUUUCUUUUUUUCUUGCAAAGAAGUGGUCAAGUCUGGGCCGCCAGUGACUAUGAUCGAUGGUUCUUAGUAAUGUAUAUGGCAUCUAAUAUUAGCUUCAACAUAUUCCAAUUACUAGGAGGGAAUUCUAAGAGCAUUAAGGAGAGUGUGGAAUCAAUAGAUGAAGAGAACAGGUCCAUUACGUUCAAGGUUUCGGAUGGAGAGGUGCUGAACGACUACAAGAGCUACAAGUUCACCACACAAGCAAUACCAAAGGGAGAGGGCUGCUUGGUGAAAUGGACCAUUGAAUAUGAGAAGGCAAGUGAGGAUGGGCCAGAUCCCCAUGACUACCUGGAGUUUGCAGUUACUGUCACCAAAGAUAUCGAAAGUCACCUUCUCAAUGCAUAACACCAAGUCCAUACAUACCGUCUGCUAGUAUCUCUAUUAAAUAAAGUUUGGAACUUGGAAGGGCAUCUACGAUCUCUAUCCUUCAAUAUAUGCGAAGGCUUAGGGGAACUUUUAGCAGCUGUGGCUUGGUGAUUAAUGCUGAGAAGAUAAACUAGGUUUCCCUUAAUUAUUUGUGUAAUAAUGUUAGUGCAUGCGUGUAAUCGGUUGUAUGCUUGUCUGGACUCUAGGGGUUGCUUUGUGAUUGUUAAUUGGUGUCUUUUGUAAUGGGAUUACUACAUGUUAUGUGAAGACUAUAUGAUGUAUAAGGAAAUAAAGUGAAAAUUACCAGGGGCUAACUCCAUCAUGAGGAGCCUCUGAGUAUGUCCACAAGUCUACAUUCUUGCAUUCUAGUCACAUGUGUCAAAAUCAGACCCUAACAAAUUACAGUCUUGAUCAUUGAAGGGGUAAAAUCCCACUUUACAUAUAAUCUAAAUAAUUUAGCUAAAAUCUAAUAAGAAUAUCUCUCUCUACAGGUAUGUAACCUUCCAACCUUGAAUUUAAGGAUAUUUAUAUAAUUUAAAAUUAUAAAAAGAAAAUUUUGGAUAUAGGACAAAUUAAUUUUUUUUUUAAAAAAUAACGAAAGUGAAUGAAAUAUUUUUGGUUCCUAUGACCACCCACUUUUUUUACUUUUUAUUUUUAUCUCAUUUUAGUUUCUCCACGUUAUAAAAAAAUGAAAAGAUAAAAUAGAGAGGAAAAAAGACAACUUGGAUUUGUAGAAGUUUCUUUCUUUCAUGGUGUUUUUCUGUUCUGUUUUUGCCUUUGUUUCAUUCUAAAAGUCACUCACUAUCUUUAUCUCAUUUGGGUUUCCCCGCGUUAUCAAAAAAUGAAAAUAUAAAACAAAGAGGAAAAAAAAACCUAUACAAAGGUCUUUGGAAUUUUGAUUCAAAGACUUAAGAAAAGAAUAAUAAAUUUUUGCAUUUGUUCCGUUCUAAAAUUCAAGGUAAGUUUUUCACAUAUAAUUUUUUUUUAGGAAUUCUAUUAUCUAUUAAUUAUGAGAAUAGUAAAUAUAUAUAAUAAUAAUAAUAAUAAUAAUCAUCAUCAUCAUCAUCAUCAUCGUCAUCAUCAUUAUCAUUUUAAAACUAGUUAUUAGUGAUCCUAAUCAAUCGAGAACAAGUUGAUUUUCAUUACCCUUGGUAAUGGUAGUGAUAAAAUAUAUUUUUAGUUAAUAAGGGUGUAAUUAGCUUUGGGGUUUCAUUGAUUAGAAAUUAUUUCAUCUACUAGUAAAAAAAACAAAGUAAAACUAACCAUCAAGUGCAAAUCAUGAAUUUUUUUAAAUAUGAAUUGAGUAUACAAAGUAUAUUAUUUAAUUAUAUAUUUAAAUUGAAAGAGAUUAAUUUUUCAAAAAUAGUGAAUUUAAUCAUUGAAUCAAAUCAACUUACCUGUUAUAAAGAUGUGAUAUGUUCCAAAAUUUAGUUGUAUACAAUACGUGACCCUUCUUAUUAAACUAUCCUUUAUCAUUGAGCUAUCUAACUUACCUUUCUCAAUUAUUAUCCUUUAAGGUACAUCAAAUAUUGGUAUAAAUGAGAAGAGAUCGAGAUAUGAAAAGUAUUUCAAAUAGAAACAUCUUUAGAAUAGAUUUAUUUUUUAGGAUUGUUUACUUAGAUCAAGUUUAUUUUAAUUUCUAAAAUGUUUUUUUAAGUGUUUGAGAGAAUUAAAGUUAUUAUUUAGAUAUUUUAAUUAGUUUUGGAUUUGUUUGUUAAGGUCAUUCAUACAAAGAUGAUAUCCAUUUCUGUGUUAUAUUUUAUUUUAUUUAUUUAUUUCUUAUUUCAUGUAUUAAGUUUGAUAAAACUGAAGGUGAAAUCAACAUUGAAUUGCUAAAAAUGUCAAUUACUAUUGUUAAUUUAUCACAAUUAUGAUUUUUUAAUUGUAGCACAUAGUAAAAUUAUUAUUAUUAUUAUUAUUAAUAUUUAUACUCUGGUCGAACUUAUCCAUGGCCAAUCCAUCAUGUAGGCCAAUUUUGUCAAACUUAUCCAUGGCCCAUCCAUCAUGUAGGCCAAAUUUUUAUUAGCAUUUUUGGGUCAUAACUCUAGAUGCUGACAUUAAAGCAUUUCUGGCAUAAUAAUUAUUGGAAAAGGAUGUCUCCUCUUUCAUGGAUCACAACCAAUACAGCAAAGAUGAUGAUAGAUAGCAUCCUUAUCACCUCAUGUGUCUUGACCUCUUCUUCAAGCUUGAGUGUCUUGUCCUAUAUUUAACGCAUGUACCAUUGCCUCCAAGAUAUGGUGACAGGAAUUAUAUAGCUACUGACUAGCUAGUCUUCACUCCAAAAAUAUGAUGGCCACUUUUUUGAAAUAUAACUCUUUAUCCUAUUGACUUAAACUCACCACCUCUUUCAGAUCCUCCACAAGGAUCAACUUAUUAAGAGUUUGGUCGAAGUUUGAUCCACUUUUCUAAAUGAGCAAUGUUAAAUUAUUUUAUUCAAACAAAUUUGAUGAUCAAAUAUCUCUUAUUUUCUCAAAUUUAAAUAACAUUCCUUUAUAAAAAUAAUUAUAAAAUUUAUUAUAAUCACUCAUUUUCAAUGGCUCAUUAGUAGAUGUUCAUUGUAUUAAAAUACAUUUAUAUGAUUAAGAAAAACUUAUACAUUUCUAUUUUUUUUUUCUAUGCAUAAUUUAUAAUAUCUCAUAUAGGAUUUAUUGGGUUUAGAAACAUGUAAUAUUUAUAUAAUAGUGAGUGAAUUAUUAUAAAUGGUAUGAAAAUUGAUUUUCAACCCUUUAUGAGAAUUUAUUUAAUACUACAAUAUAUGACUCUAUGUUUGAUUAUGUAAUCCUAUAAGACACGAUGUCCAUUAAGUUCAUUAUAUUAUUUUUAAUUAUGUAAAAAUAUUUUAAAAUUAAAAAAAUUCAUUAAACUUAGUGCAGACGCUAUCUAUAUAAAAGGAAAUAAAUGGUUAUACUUCAUCAUAUUCGUUUCUCAUAUUUGAUAUAUAUCAAUUUCAGCGACUAUUAUUCAACAUUGCCCGAAGCAAUAGGUGCCUCACUUUUACAAAGAAAACUUCCUCUAUUGAUAUUUCUCAAAUAUAAAUUCAUGUCAUGGACUCAUGGUUAACAACCGAUAGAUCCUAAAACAAUUAGAUAUCUCAGAUAUUGAUUGACCAAAUGGACAACCGAUGCUAUAGUAAGAGCUGUUGCUGUUAUCUUUUAAUUUAAAUAUACACAAACGACAAAAUGCUUAACUAAUCCACCACCCAGGCGCCGGGCCACAGAAAUGAAAUACCGCCUACCCCAACAUUUUGGAAUUAAAAAUCUACACCACCCAGAUCUUGCUGUGAUUUGGUAAAUCCCGAGAAAUUGACAACCUUCCUACGCUGGGGAGGCGUGGUUCCAUUCAAUGCCAACAUUUUCGGAUGGGUCCAGAGAGUUGUACAGUGACUUUUAAAUAAAGAAUUGUUUUAAACCUUGACUUUGGGCUCUUUAUCAGGAAUAUGAAAAUAUUGGGCAAUGACUAGAUUCGAGAGCAGGUUGCAUGCAUAGAUAUCGCAUUAAUUUUUAGCAAUCGUUAUGACGAAAGAAAAUCUGCAGAACCAAGCGAAUUUUCCUAGUCAUCAUGAGAGACAUUAGACAAGGUUUUCAAUUCAUAAAAUUGCCUUAUCAUCUGGAAUUAAAUAUUUUCAAGCUAAGGAUGAGGUUCAAUCCGUACGGGGCAAUGAAAAUAUAUGGAUGCCCUAUAGAGUGGUUGAACAUUCUACAGUUUCGUCCCUAUUUAUAGAAGAAGAUGAAAUUUUAAGCAAUUUGCUUCAAUGCAAUUUUAGCAUAUUUCAGCUAGUCAUAGCAACGUCUAAUUUCGUUGAUGUAGAAGAAGCUAACACCAAAGAUUCAUCUAGGUAGAAAGAAGUAUCGAGCAUGUAACUAACCGCAGAACUCACAUCUAGGGACCCUAUUGUAAAUAUAACAGGUGAUGGACAUAAAGAUAGAUAUGAGUAAAAGAGUGGAACAUAAAAUCCAAAUUUCAAAAGUAUGAUAGUUUUUUAGUGUUUCUUUGAAUCUCGUAGGAAUUUAGGUCAUUUUCAAUCUCAUCCAUGAGACAAGGUACAAUAAUUGUUGAAGAAUAAGAGUAUUGUUGGGCAGUUCGGCGAGCUAUAUAUAAAGAGAGAGACUUCUUAACCAUAUAAAUAUUAUCCUCUAUAACUCUAAAUUUUUUUUUCCUUUAUCCAAUAUAAAAUAUCACAAUCACUUUUAUGUAUGCACUCUUUUUAAUCACGUCGCAUAAAAUUACACCAUUUUCAAAGCUAAAUAAACUCCUAUAUAGGGGUCAUAUAUUGACUUCAAUACUCUUUGAAACGACUCACACUUAAUCAUAUAAACUCAUUAUAAUAAUGUAUUUCCUAAUUUCAUGGAAUUUCAAUAAAAUAUUUAUUACUUUCAAAUGGGAAUUAGAGAGGAAUGUUGUCUAGCUAACUCAUAAUUCUUCUUUAUAAGUUCAAAUUAGGUAUUUACUUCUUCCUACCAUUACCUCAUAUUUUGAUUGUUUCUUCGUUAAUAUAUAGUUGGUUAAACUAAUAAACUAGAGGUUAGGAUGGAGAUCAAUUUAGAUUAUGUUUGUUUUGAGUUUAAUAAACCCUUACGACUUUAAAAUGUGUUUAGAUAGUUAAGAGAAACUUAUACAUAUAUAAUAUUAAAAAAAUUUCCUCAUUUAAUGUGAGAUAUUAUAAUCAUCACUCAUGUAGACAUAAUAUAUUUGUUGUAAGUCAGAAGAUUGUAAAACCAAACAAAUUUUUUCAUUGAAAUAUAAUAUUAUUUGUAAUGGUUCACUUUCUCUCAUGGAUCCCAACUCCAUUAGGUUCUUCAUGAAGCUUGUUUCAGUUUAUUAACCACCGAUGUAGCAAAGAUGAUGAUAAGUAGUAUUUUUGUUUCUCAUAUGUUUUCAGACCUCAUCAAGCUUGAGUGCCUUAUCCCAUCUCUAACGCAUGUACCAUUGCCUCCAAAAUAUGUUGCCAGAUUAUACAUAAUAUCAUAAUUAUAGCUACUGAAGUCCAACGACUACCUAGCUAGUCUUCACUCCCAAAAACAUGAUGGUCACUUCUUUGAAAUAUAACUCUUAUCCUAGUGACUCAAACUCACCACCUCAUUGACAUCCGUCAUAAGAAUUUCAGAGACUCUUCAAAGUUUGAUCCACUUUUAUAGAUGAAUAAUGUAAAAUUCUUUUAUUCAAACAAAUUUGAUGAUCAAAUAUCUUUUCUUUCCUAAAAAUUAUAUUUCCUUUUUAUAAAUCUUAUUUUAAUGACCCAAUUACAGUAUGGUAGAUAUUGUUUGUUUCGAGUCCAAUAAACCCUUAUAACUUUAAAAUAUGAUUAAAUAGUUAAGAGAAACUUAUAAAUAUAUAAAUGUGAGGUCAAAUAAAUUUUCAUAUUGAGAUAAAAGAUUAACUUUAAUACUAUUUGUAAUGGUUUACUUUCUUUCAUGUAAACAUCAUCCACUUUAUACUCAAUGAAUCAUUGAAGCUUUAAAACAUAUUUACAUGAUUAAAAGAAACUCGUACAUAUAGUAUUAGAAUUUUUUUUUUCUGACCCAUGAUUUGCAAUAUAUGUAUAAAUACGUUUUAAAGUUAUGAGGAUUUAUUAAGUUCAGAGUAAAUAGUAUUUAUAUUAAAUGGAAUGACAUGUCACAUGCAAAUAAUAUCAAACUCAAUCUCCAAUUUUUAUAUAAGAGUUUGUUUGAUUUUAUAAAAAAUGUUUGUGUGUUUCAUUCUACAAUUCUGUGAGACACAACAUCCAUUUAAUUUAUUAAAGUCUUUUUAACUAUGUAAACAUGUUUUAAGUUGUUAAGAUUGAUUGGGUAAAAACAGAAGAGGUGAUUGUGUGUUUUAUCCUACAAUUCAAUGAGGCAAUGCCUAAUUGAUUCAUUGGGGUACUUUUAAUCGUUAAUGCAUGUUUCAAUGUUGCUAAGAUUGAUUGAGUGAGGAAAAUAUCUACAUAUGAAAGGCAACAGUUAGUUACACUUCAUUAUGUUUUUUUCUAAUAUAUUGAUAUAUGUCAAUUUCAGUAGUUAUUAAUUCAACAUCGCCCAAAGUAACCAAUGCCUCGCUUUUCCAAACAAAACUUUCUCUAUUGAUAUUUCUUAAAUAUAAAAUCAUGUCAUGGUAAGCAUCCGAUGGAUACUAAGACAAUUGGAUAGAUAUCUCAGAUAUUGAAUGGACCAAAUGGGGUAACGGAUGUGGUAGUAUACAAGCGCUGUAUAUCUUUUAAUUUAGAUAUACACACACAACGUAAUGCCUAAUCCAUCCAGCCGGGGGGCCGGCCAGAGAGAUAUAAAAUACCCCCAAUCCCAUCAUUUUGUAUUUUGUAUUGGAAUUAAAAAUCCAAACCCAGAUAUUGCUAUGAUUUGGUAAAUCCCGAGAAAUUGAGAACCCAUCCUGGGGGAGGCAUGGUCCCCCUAUUCAAUGCCAACCCUAUUUUCAAAUGGUGUCUAAAGAGUUGUACAGUUAACGGUGACUUUAAAAUAAAGAAUUGCCUUAAACCUUGAUUUUAGGCCCUUCUUCAAGAAUAUGAAAAUGCAUGUUGGGCAAUGAUUUAGAUUCGAAAGUGGGUUCUGCAGACAUCACAUUUCUGCAGAGCCGAAAAUAUUUACAAGCGUAGGACGAAGCUCAGUUCAGAUGGGCCUCGAAGAUGAAUUUUUAAGCAAUUUGCUUGAUACAUUCAGCAAUUGAUAAUUUAAAAUAAAAAAAAUUAGGAAAUAGAAAGUAAAACAUAUAUGGUUAAAACUUCAAUGCAAUUUUAGCAUAUUUGAACUAGUCAUAGGAGCGUUUAAUUUCUUUGAUGAAGAAGCUGAACACCAAAGAUUCAUCCAGGUAGAAAAAUGUAUUGACCAUCUAAUUGUCUGCAGAACCUACAUCUAAGUACCCCGCUAUAAAUAUAAGAGGCAACUUAGGUGAGGGACAUAUAGACACAUACGAAUGCCAUUGUAGAAUAUAAAAUCCAAAUUUCUCAAAACUAUAAGGUUAUGUUUGAAUCCAAAAAAAUAUUAGAGGAAGUGAAAAUGUUAAGAAAAAUAAUUUUUUAUGAUUAAUUUUAUUAUAAAAAAUAUAAAAAAUAAAUAUAAUUAAAAUUAGUUAGAAUUUUACAUAUUUUUAAAUUAUAUAAUUUGAAUUUAAAUAAAUAUAUAAAAAUAAGUCAUUAAUUUUAGAUCUAUUUCUUUUUUCUUUUUUUAUAUUCUCCCACAAAAUUUCAGUAACCGAACACAACCUAAUAGUUUCCACUGUUUCUUUGAAUUUCUCAACUUCAAAAUCUCUUGUCUAUGAGACCUCAGAGUAAUUAAUUCCUACCUCUUGGUGACUAGGCCAAGCGCAUGGAUAGGCACAUUGACCCACUUGUAAUUGCCUAGGCUAAUAGGCCAAGCUCAUAGCAAUUUUCCUUUUUUAUUUUUUAAUUUCGUCGUAGGACUUGGUCUCCACAAGGCACUAUAACGUAUCCCCUAAUUUCAUUUCAUGGAACUUUAAUAAAAUAUCUAUUGCUUUCAAGUGGGAACUGGAGAGCAACGUUGCCUAGCUAACUCACAAUCCUUCUAUAUAAGUUCAAGCUAGGUAUCUUCUUCCUUCCACCACUGCCCACUGCCUUGUAUUAGGAUAUCGUUUCUUAGUUAAUAUAUAGUUGAUUAAUUUCCAUCUCCAACUACUACUAUUAUUAGAAAAAUAUGGCUCUAACUGGCAAGCUAGAGGUUGAAAUGGAGAUCAAUUCACCUGCGGAUAAAUUCUAUAACAUCUUCAGGAGGCAAGCACACCACAUUCCUAAUAUCUGCUCAGAUAAAGUACACCAAAUUGAUGUACAUGAAGGUGACUGGGAGACUCCAGGCUCCGUCAAGAACUGGGGUUAUACUCUUGGUAAGGCAACCACAACUCAAACCCCAAAACCCUAGCACUAUUAGUCUGUAAAAAAAAAUGAUUUUUUUAGUUUUUCUAUUUCAUUUAAUUGUUUUUUUGUUUGGCAUUUUCCCCUUUAGAAUAUUAAUUUAACUGCAUUAAUUCGGAGUUGAUCCCAUCAUGUGGAAGUUUAUGCUUCUGUUAUGAAUACAGCUUUGUAUGCCUUCCUUAUGUUUAAUUCAACCUAAAGCAUGUAGAAUUGAUGGUCAAAGUCUAUGGGACCCUUUUUUCAUGACCGCCAUGCAUGGGGCUUUCCCAGGUGACUGCCCGCUACUAAAGGGGCCUAAAGUUUAGGUCCCCCGAGUUAGAACUUAGAAGAGGGAUUAUGAAUGAUCAGUGAAGUUGUAAGGUUUUGAUCUUCUUAGAUAUUACCUAGAAAGAGGAUUGACUUUACUUGACUUUUACCAUAUUGAUUUAGAGAUUGGCGAUUGCUUUAAAAGGUUGUGUCAACAGAAGAAAACUUAAAAAAUAUUAAGAAAAAUAAAAAAAAUGAUUUUGUUUUUAUAAAAAAAAUCAAAUAUAAUAAAAACGAGUUGAAAUUUUAUUUAUUUUUAAAUUAACUUUUAUAUAGAAGAAUUAAAAUACGUUAAGUAAAUUUGAAUCAAAAUAUAAAAAUAAUUAAUUUCUUAAUUUUAAAUUUAUUAUUUUUCUUUUAACUUCUUUUUUGUUUUUUCAUUUUCUUUUCUUUUGUAUUUUCUUCAAAUUUUUUUAGAACCAAAUAUAGUCAUUAUGAAAAGAUGGGCCACGAAGUGACUACGCAUGUCAAUUUGCUUGAGAUUUCGCAAUCUAGUAGUUUCAAAAUACUAUGCUUAACCCCUUGUUUUGGUUUGAAAUUACUAGGAGGGACUUCUAUGAGCCUUAAAGAGACUGUGGAAUCAGUAGAUGAUGAAAACAAGUCAAUCACUUUCAAGGUUGUGGAUGGAGAGAUCAUGAACCAUUUCAAGUGCUUCAAGUCCAACUUGCAAGUAAAAGCAAAGGAUGAGGGCAGCUUGGUGAAAUGGAGUCUGGAAUAUGAGAAAGUAAAUAAGGAUGUCCCAAAUCCUGAUGCUUACCUGGAGUUCGCAGUUAAUGUUACUAAAGAUAUUGAAAGCCACUACCUCAAGGCAUGACACCAAGGCCAUGUGGUAUCCUCGGUAGUAUUACUUCAAUAACGCUGGUGUUUGUAAUUUGGUUGAGUUGUAUGCUUUACCAGGAGUGGCCUUGUGAUUGGCUGGUUUCUUUUGUAAAGGCAUUAUCAUAUAUGAUGUAAAUACUGUACCUUAAAUAAAAAGAAAAUCAGCAAAGACCCUCCUUUUUAAUGUGGAUAAUUGCUUUUAAUGUCACCUUUGUUGAUCGGUUUACAAGACAAGAGUUAACAAGUAGUCCCUAUUUAUUAAAUAUAAGAAUUUUCUGUAUCCAUUAAUCAUCAUCAGUAAGCUAAUAAAAUGGCUGAUAUUUUUCUUAAUAAAAACAGCAACAGUUACUGAGUUUAUAUAUAGGACACCAGUUGCAGAUUAGAUUUCUUUGGCUUGAUUGUGAUCUUUCUACAUGUUGGAAAAAUAUUGUCAUUUGGUAUUUAAUAUCAAAUUUUAAAAAUAAUAUUUAAGAUAUGAAGAAAAAAACAUACAAUGAUUCAUAUUUUUAACUUUAAUAUGAUUUAAAGUUCAUCGAGUAACCGUUUUGAAAUCAUUCACCCUUGAUCUUCACUUUCCUAGUCUCCCUUUACACGUUCCUUAGUGGUGAGUAUGAAAAUGAUUCCAUUGAAUUGUAAGAAUGGAAAGAGGGAUAAAAAAUUCUUCUAUUUAUAAGCAUAGAAUGAUUCUUCUUAUCAGUGAACCAUUAACUAAAUACUUUAAACAUAUUAUUAAUUAAUAAUAAUAAUAAUAAUAAUUAUUAUUAGAAAAUAAAUUUCAUAAAUAUUAUAAAUUUAAAAAAGAAUCUAAUUUAAUUCUUAAAAAAUUUAUGCAUGAAAUUUUUAUAUUAUUUUUAAUUGUUUUCUAAGGGUUAUUUUAAGAAAUUAUUAUACAAACAUAUAAAAUAAUUAAAAAUAAAACAAUAGAUAUAAAAAUUAUUUUUAAAAAUAUUAAAAAUAAAUUCAAAAUAUUUUAAGUUGCCAAACAAAUUUUUUAUUCUACAAAAAUCAGAGAUAGUUUUCAAAAUCUCUUUUAAAAAACUAUUUUUCAGAAUUAUUUUAAAAAAUAGUUACCAAACAAGCCCUAAAAGAUUUAUAUAUAUAUAUAUAUAUGAAAUUAAAAAAAUAUCAAAUAAUAAAAAUUCAAACAAUGGUAAGGGUGUCACUAAUGAUCGGUUUGGAUUUAAACUAACAUUUUUUUAUAUUGAGUAAUUUAUUUUUUAUUCUAUAUAUUAGAAAAUUGAAUUUAAAUGUAACUUUUUCAAAUAAAAUAGUUAGAUCACACUUGAUAUAUAGUAAUAAUUUUUUAAAAACUAAUGGUCAUAAUUUAAAAAAAUGAUGAAAAAAAAAUCUCAAAUAUAUUGCAUAUGAAUGUAUAUAUUUAGUUUUAUACAACAUGUUAGACAUAUAUUAGUUAUUAACUUAUUAUAAUCUACUAAAAUAUUAAUUCUAUACGAGGGGAUUAGAUUUCUCAUUGUUGAUUUUAUAACCCUCAUUGUGGGAUUAUAAAAUGUCAUUGCAAUCACUCCCAAUUUAGUCUAUGCAAAUCAAAUAUAGAAAUGCAAUUUAUCUCUGUCACAAUUUGUUACACAAUAAUGAUAAUGGAUAAUAAAUAAAUAAAUAAAUAAAAUUAAAGAACACACAUUUAUGUAUAAAACUUUAGAUGAGAAAAAUCAUGGAUAAGGAAAAUGAAUAUCCAAUAUAUCAAAAGAUUGGUAUAAAAGAUGAGAAAUAUAAACAACUAUGAUAAAAAUAUAAUCAUCAUAACCUUAAAAUUAUGUGAAAGUAAUUAACAAAGUAGGUCCAUACAUAAGGACAAAGAGCCCCCUCAAAGGUAUCAAUGGUGGGGGUGUGGGGUGUGGGAUCGGAUCAAAUUCCAACGUUAUCAAUGGUAGGCUAGGGGAUCGGAUCAAAUAGAAUUUGGAUCGCCAAACCUUAAUACAUUUUAUGCUUUUUCUUAUUGGUUUAGAUUUAUGAUAAUCUCCUCCACCAGCAAAAUAAAGUUAUACCGGAGGAUUUUCUUUGUUUUGGCUGUCACACUUUCACUUCUUUGCUAAUAGCCUAACAUCAAAUGAGAAAAUAGAGACAUUUUAAAAAUGAGAACAAAUUCUCGAGGAUUUAGUUGUCUGCCACUAGACUAUAAAAAAUGCUUUCCUGUUAUUUUACCCCCUAAAAUAAGUUUGAUACAAUGCAUCUAUUUUCUGGCUCCGACAAUGUUUAAGAAUACAUCAACCGACCUCAAACCACAUUAUUUCGGUUUGAAAAGAAGGCUUUAUUAUGUCAGUAUGGCUGCUAAGAAGACUUUUGGAAUAUAAUAAAACAAGUCCAGCGAGUUGAUGGUUUGGAAUCGAGAGAUCAUGAAUGAUUUCCCUACUUUAGAGUCAAUAAUUAAGUGGAAUGUGAGAAGGUGAAUGAGGAUGGCCCGGGAUCCAAUGCUUACUAAACUAUUGAAGAUCACCUUCCUGAGGCAUAAUUCCAUUACUUUUCAUCGACGCUGCGAUGCUAUAAAAGAAUAUUAUAAAAAUGCAAGGGUAAUGAAAUAUUGUACAGCCUUUACCGUAUUGAAGAACGUGGACUGAUUGCUAGGGUACCCAACACCCACCAUAAUUCCCACACCAACUCCCAACCAACCCGAUCACGUAGGGCCUCACAUGGCCUCAUUAUCAUUUAUGUGGAAAGAUAAUGCUAAACUAUAUACGGGAUGGCCAUUCUACCAGCCAACCUGUAAUGAUUUUGAUAAAAGUAUACUAAAAAUAGAAGGAGAAAUUAAGUUAUCAUUUGAUAACGGUUUUUAAAAAUUGUUUUUAAUAUUUUAUAAAAUAAAAUUUUAUUUAGAAAUACAAAAUAUUUUUAACUUAUUUUUAAUAUUUUAUAUGUAUAUAUAUAUAUAUAAAGAGAGAGCGCUUUAUUUUUAAUUAUUUUUCAUAUUUAUAUAAUUAUUUUUUAAAACAAUUUCAAAAAAACAAGUGAAAAUAACUAAAAAAAUAUUCUUUGAGAUAAAGAUCAAAAAACAUAAAAUAGUUUUUUUUAUUAUCAAACAUGUUUUAUGUUUUCUAAUCUGUGUUUUUUUAAUUUGUUUUUUGUUUUCAAAUCUUAAGAUCACUUAAUUUUUUAGGGUUUUUUUUAAGAAAUAAUUAUAUAAAUAUAUAAAAUAAUUAAAAAUAAAAUAUUAGACAUAAAAAUUAUUUUUAAAACAUAUUUAAAAAUAUUAAAAACAAGUUUAAAAUAUUUUAAGUUAUAAAAUAAGCUUUUUUUUUUUUACAAGAAUCAUAAAAUAAUUUUUAAAAACUAUUUUAAAAUAUUAUUUUUGAAAAUAAUUAUCAAACCCCUUAUUUUCUAUUCUCAAAAAAUGUUUUUUAAUUAUCAAAUGUGGUGUCUAUUUAAAUUUAAGAUUUUAAAUUUUAAAUUUAGUUAUUUCCAAGUUAUGAUCUCUUGAUAUUAUUUCAACCUAUUAUUUAUUUAUUUGUUUGUUUUUCACAUAAAUAAACUAAAAUUCAAUUGUAUAACCCAGUAUGAAUCACGUGGGCCCUUAGUGAGGCUGGCUACAACUAAAUCAACGUUCUUUUGAUAAUCGAUUGCCUAUGAAAGAAAUCAUCACGCCUUACACACAAUAGAAUAAAUUAAUAAGAAAGUAAGAAGAUUAGAAAGAAAAGCAUCUUAGAGGAAGGGUUUUUUUUUUUUUAACUUCUUGGUGGUGACACUGGAUGGGCUUUUGAUAAUUGUACGACGAAUUUAAAAUUAAUGUUUUAAAAUACGGUAUUAAAAAAUAUUUUCAAAUUUAUGGUACUUUUUACCACUUUGAAACAUGUUUCUUAAAAAAGCAUAUUUCAUCGUUUUUAUAUUAAUGAUACACAUUCAAAAAAAAAAAAAUUAAAGGUGUCUUUUUGAAAUAUAUUUUUCAUAAUUUUUAUAUCAAUAACACACAUUAAAAAAUUUUGAAUUUAUAUUAAAAGUGUCUCUUCAAAAAACACAUUUUAUAAUUCCAUAAAAUUAAAUUUAUAUUAAAAGUGUCUUUUAAAGAUAUACUUUUUACAAUUUUCAUAUCAGUUAUAUAGUGAAAAAAUUGAAUUUAUAUUAAACAUAUUUCUUUAAAAGACAUUUUCUACAAUUUCAUAAAAUUAAAUUUAUAUUAAAGGUAUCUCUUUCAAUAAUUUUUGUAUCAAUCAUCCAUUGAAAUAAUUGAAUUUAUACUAAAAAUAUCUUUUUAAAAGACACCAUCCAUAAUUUCAUAAAAUUAAAUUUAUAUUGAAAUGUUUCUCUUUAUACUUUUAAUAUAAAUUUAAUUUUUUUAUAGGUGAUUAAUAUAAAAAUUAUGAAAAGUAUUUAUUUAAAAAAUAUUUAUUAUAAAUUCAAUUUUAUAGAAUUAUAAAGACGUCUUCAACGUAAAUUCAAUUAUUUUUUCAAUGUGUAAUUGAUAUGAACAUUAUGAAAAAUGUCCUUCAAAAGACACUUUUAGUAUAAAUUUGAUUUUAUGGUAUUAUUAAAAGUAUAUUUCUUUAAUAUAAAUUCAAUUUUUUAACAUGUAUAACUAAUGAAAAAUUAUAAAAAAAUUAUAUUUUGAAGAGAUAUCUUUAAUAUAAAUUCAAUUUUUUAACAUGUAUAACUAAUGAAAAAUUAUAAAAAAAAUUAUAUUUUGAAGAGAUAUCUUUAAUAUAAAUUCAAUUUUAUAGAAUUAUAAAAGAUAUCUAUUGAAAAAAUACUUUUAACAUGUAUCAUUGAUAUGAAAAAUAUAGAAAAUAUCUUUUCAAAAAACACUUUUUAAAAUGGUAAAAAGUACCAUAAAUUUAUCAAAAGUUUUAUAACUAUCAUAGAAAUUUUUUUCAAAAGUUCCAUUUUUUAAUAAUUAUUUUUUUAAAUAGCCGUACAAGUUAUAUAAAAAAAAACCCGAUACUCCAUAAAAUGUGAUCAAGUAGGAUUUGCAUCAUGCAACCUCAUACAAAUAAUAAAAAGCAUAAAUCACUUGAAACUUGAAAGUGAUUGGAAUUUGGCAGACUCUAGCUAGCUAGGUUGCCAUAAAUGACAUGGGUCAGUGGCCGACACCCACCAAACCCAGCACUUAAUAAUAUAAUUAAUAUACUAUUAUUAUAGAACCAUCGUUUUCAGGAUAGGGAGCAUCAAAUUAACCUCCCCAAGUCAAACUGCACAAUUUGUUUCAUCGAAAUCGAAUAUCUAAUAAUGAAUGAUUAUGGGUGAGAUUGCAAUCCGCCAAUCCUUUGCCUAGCUCUUUGAAAAUCAAUGAUGAUGCUUAGUAUUAAUAUUUUAUUUAUCUUUUUAAUAUGAAAAUAAAAAUAUCAAAAUAAUUUUAAACUUUUUUCGUGGAGAUAAUGCUCCCCAGUUAAGCUGCUUAUAAGGUAUAAAUUAAUAAUAACCUUUUAAUUUUAAUAAAAGCAAUUUGAUACAUAUCACAUCUUAAUUCACUUGAGUAAUAACUAUUUAAGAUUGGAUUUAGGUUAACUUAGAUUAAUUAGAUUGUAUUCAGGUUAAUUAAACCAUAAUCAUAUUAUUAUCAACAAUUUCUCACAACUAUCCUAUUUUUAAUAUGAAUUAUUCCUAGUUCUCAAAUUAUUGUUUAGGUAGUUUUAUUAUCUUAAAAAACAUCUUUUUUUGUCAUUGGUUCUGCAUGGUUAUUAAAUAAGAAAAUUAUAAUUAUCUUAUCAACUAAUUUGAAGACUUUUCACAAAUUCAUACUUUAAAAACCUCUUUCUUUGUCGUGGGUCCCUACAUGGUUAUUAAAUAAUAAAAUUGUAAUAAUUUUAUCAAUUAAUUUGAAGACUUUUCACAAAUUUAUACAAUACUAGUUAUCGGAAAUGUGUCACAAAGAAGAUGCCAAGCUAAAAGCAAAUCAUGAUUCAUUAUUUUUUUUCCCAAUUGGAGCUCGAUGACCCAAUCCGAAUGCAUUAACAUCAAAAUUAGUGUUUUAUACUAUUUUCAAUGAACCUUGUCAACAUGAUCGUGAAAUGAUUUAUGAUUAUUUUCAAUAAACCUUUCAUCGAAACUAUGUGUAGAACUGCAUGAAUAAAUAAGAAAUUUUCAUAGUUACAGAUUUGCAUUAUCUCACUCUAUAUGAUUUUAUAUAGUUUUUUUUUUAAUACUUCUGCAACAUUUCUUUAGAAAAAAUAUUGUAUCAAUAAAUUCAGUAAUUUUCAUCAAUUUCAAUCUUAUAAUUAAAUGAUACUUCUGUCAUGUAUAUCACCAUACGUGUCACACUUCAUUCAAGAUCAGGUUGAUUAGUCAUGUAUACCUGCUCCAUUAAUAAAGUAUUAAGUUUUUAUUUUAUUUUAUUAAAAUAAUAAAUAAAUAAUAUAAUUUUUUUUUAUUAGAGGUAGUUAGGUAUCAUUAAAUGAUUUGUUGUCCUGCCAUGUCCCCAAUUAAUAAUUUUAUACUUUUCAUUUUUUUCAAAGGAUUUAAAAUAUAAAAUAUUAAAGAUAAAAUAUCUGAAAGUACCGCUUCCAUACCCAAUCAAAUUUUAAAUCUAAAUUAUUGACAUGUGAGUGAAAUUUGGACUAUUAAAUAAAAAGUGAAAAAAAAAUAAAAUAAUAAAUAAUUAAAAAUGUUCCUGCAAGGAGAUGUGACUAAGGUUAAAAAAGGAGGGGAUAAGGAGCGGCUAGGAAUAUGUAAACAAAAUUCAAAUAAUUAAAAAACGAAAUGAUAACUUCUCAAUGAAAUUGAAUGUUUCAGUUCUAAAAUCCAAAACAAAAACUAUAGUGAAAGAAAAAUUUGAGAAAAUAUAGCAUGGUCUUCUCUUUAAUGAUUGAUAAAUAUUUAUAUAUAAAUAAAGUUUAUUUUCCAUUAUAAUUUAGAUUAGUCGAGUCUUGUUUUCUACUCAAAUUCAAACUUCACAUUUUGUUAUAAUUUAAUCUAAUAAUAAUUGUUUUCACAAGACAAGCUGAAGUUAUCCAUUAAAAUACAACUUUUAAUUAAUAGUUUAAAAAAUAAGAUAAAUUUGAAAAUAAUUUUAAAAUUUAAUAAGUAUAUAUAUUUUUAAAUAGCAUUUUUUUUUUUAAAUUGCCAAAUCUAUGCUCAGAAAAGAUCCACAAAAGUUGAUCAACAAAAGAUACCGAACAGGAAGUAGAUGAUAAUCCAUUAUUUUCUUCUUUAUUAAAGUUUGACAACCCAAUCUGAAUUCAUUAACGUGAAAAGCAGUGUUGUAUGCUCAUUUUCAAUGAACCUUGUCAACAUGCACGUCAAAAACAAUGAUUUAUUAACUACGUACAUGUAGAAUUCCAUGGGAAAAAAAAAAAUACAAUUAAGGCCUUGGGAGAUGAAUAAAAGCUUAACCUAAAAUUCAAAAUUCUCAAAACCAUGUUUUUUCACACCAAAAUGUUUCAUCCAGCCAACCUAAGACCGAUUGAAUCCUCCCUCUAAAGCACAUUGCCCAAGAUUACAGGCAACGUAGUAAUUACCUAAGCAAGUACGUCAGAAUCAUAGCAAUUUUUACCAAAGUGGGUAUCGGGAAGGAGCUUUGCCUAAUUCAUUCUUCGACAAGGUUAUCUACUUCCUCUCGUCACUGCCUUCUGUUUGAAUCAUUUGUAGUUAGUUUUAUCAAUCCAGCUAGUGUUAUUAUCAGAAAAACAUGGCUCUAACUGCUAAAGUGGAGACUGAAACAGAGAUCAAAGCACCUGCUGAUAAGUUCUUUAAACUCUUCAGGAGCCAAGCACACCACCUUCCUAAUAUCUGCUCCGAUAAAAUACACAAAAUCGAGGUACAUGAAGGUGACUGGGAGACUCAGGGCUCCGUCAAGCAUUGGAGUUACACCAUUGG
rnacentral:lncRNA from 1 species